AAGGUAUUAGUAAAAACGAUUACAUUGCUUUGUCAGGGCAAAGUUGUAGGUGGAACUCCUGCAUACCUUA
rnacentral:tRNA from 1 species